rnacentral:rRNA from 1 species
ACCUCAAGUCAUGUGAGAGUACCCGCUGAACUUAAGCAUAUCAAUAAGCGGAGGAAAAGAAACUAACAAGGAUUCCCCUAGUAACGGCGAGUGAAGCGGGAAGAGCACAAAUUUAAAAUCUACCUGGUUUUCAGGUCGAGUUGUAAUUUGAAGAUACGUUUUUGACGUUCUAGGUUGGACUAAAUCCUUUGGGAUAAGGUAUCAUAGAGGGUGAGAAUCCCGUAUAUACCAACCGUAGGGAUGUUAUUAAAUACGUUUCUAAGAGUCGAGUUGUUUGGGAAUGCAGCUCUAAAUAGGUGGUAAAUUUCACCUAAUGCUAAAUAUAAGCGAGAGACCGAUAGCGAACAAGUACAGUGAUGGAAAGAUGAAAAGAACUUUGAAAAGAGAGUUAAAUAGUACGUGAAAUUGUUGAAAGGGAAACGAUUGAAGUCAGUCAUGCCGGUGGGAAUCAACUUAGGGGAAACUCUGGGUGCACUUCUUCGCUUGGCAGGUCAACGUCGAUUUUGAAUGUCAUAAAAUAAUUGGGGGAAGGUAGCUCCUUCGGGAGUGUUAUAGCCCUUGAUAGAUGUGAUGUUUGGGGUCGAGGAUUGCAACGGAUACCCUUCGGGGCUAGCCGCCUGAUCUCUAAUUGGUGUUGGGUUACGGAUAGCAUGCUGACCGUGAUCUAAUUACUGGUUAAAAGGUUAGAGUGUGCAUAAAUUCGUUAAGGACGUUGACGUAAUGGCUUUAAACGACCCGUCUUGAAACACGGACCAAGGAGUCUAACAUGUGUGCGAGUGUUAGGGUAUUAAACCCAGACGCGAAAUGAAAGUGAGUGUAGGUGGGAUCCUUUAUUGGAGCACCAUCGACCGAUCUUGAGAUUUAUCGAUAGAAUUGAGUUAGAGC